rnacentral:rRNA from 1 species
CCCUUAGAGUUUGAUCCUGGCUCAGAUUGAACGCUGGCGGCAUGCCUUACACAUGCAAGUCGAACGGCAGCACGGGAGCAAUCCUGGUGGCGAGUGGCGAACGGGUGAGUAAUACAUCGGAACGUGCCCAGUAGUGGGGGAUAACCCGGCGAAAGCCGGACUAAUACCGCAUACGACCUACGGGUGAAAGCAGGGGAUCGAAAGACCUUGCGCUAUCGGAGCGGCCGAUGUCAGAUUAGCUUGUUGGUGGGGUAAAAGCCCACCAAGGCGACGAUCUGUAGCUGGUCUGAGAGGACGACCAGCCACACUGGGACUGAGACACGGCCCAGACUCCUACGGGAGGCAGCAGUGGGGAAUUUUGGACAAUGGGCGCAAGCCUGAUCCAGCCAUGCCGCGUGCGGGAAGAAGGCCUUCGGGUUGUAAACCGCUUUUGUCAGGGAAGAAACGCUUCGGAUUAAUACCCUGGAGUAAUGACGGUACCUGAAGAAUAAGCACCGGCUAACUACGUGCCAGCAGCCGCGGUAAUGCGUAGGGUGCAAGCGUUAAUCGGAAUUACUGGGCGUAAAGCGUGCGCAGGCGGCUUUGCAAGACAGAUGUGAAAUCCCCGGGCUUAACCUGGGAACUGCAUUUGUGACUGCAUGGCUGGAGUGCGGCAGAGGGGGGAUGGAAUUCCGCGUGUAGCAGUGAAAUGCGUAGAUAUGCGGAGGAACACCGAUGGCGAAGGCAAUCCCCUGGGCCUGCACUGACGCUCAUGCACGAAAGCGUGGGGAGCAAACAGAUAGAUACCCUGGUAGUCCACGCCCUA